rnacentral:lncRNA from 1 species
AGCUCGGUGGCCAGGGGUGGAAAGAAGCCGCAAGCCGCAGCCGCAGCCCCAAGUCAGCCCCCGCUGCCCCGUCCCACCGUCUCAUCUCUCCCCCCUCGGCAGUUUUACUGGGACCCAGCAACUCUAAAAUGCAGCUUUCUAUGCAAGAAAGACCUAUGUGAUAAUUAAGAGACUCCUUCCUUAAGAGUAAGUAGAAAAGACUUUGGGGGCUCCAACUCCCCUUGCCUGACCUUCAACACAGCUGAGGCUUAGUCUCCAAGCCCAGCAAACACAGGGAAAAGGAAAGCCCUGUUCUUGAGAGCUGUAUUCUUCAAAGGUCCUCUACACACUAUGAUUGUCUUUAGCGUGUAGGAAUUAUGUGUGCC